CUCAUGACGAACGCUGGCGGCGUGCUUAACACAUGCAAGUCGAACGGAAAGGCCCUGCUUUUGUGGGGUGCUCGAGUGGCGAACGGGUGAGUAACACGUGAGUAACCUGCCCUUGACUUUGGGAUAACUUCAGGAAACUGGGGCUAAUACCGGAUAGGAGCUCCUGCUGCAUGGUGGGGGUUGGAAAGUUUCGGCGGUUGGGGAUGGACUCGCGGCUUAUCAGCUUGUUGGUGGGGUAGUGGCUUACCAAGGCUUUGACGGGUAGCCGGCCUGAGAGGGUGACCGGCCACAUUGGGACUGAGAUACGGCCCAGACUCCUACGGGAGGCAGCAGUGGGGAAUAUUGCACAAUGGGCGGAAGCCUGAUGCAGCAACGCCGCGUGCGGGAUGACGGCCUUCGGGUUGUAAACCGCUUUCGCCUGUGACGAAGCGUGAGUGACGGUAAUGGGUAAAGAAGCACCGGCUAACUACGUGCCAGCAGCCGCGGUGAUACGUAGGGUGCGAGCGUUGUCCGGAUUUAUUGGGCGUAAAGGGCUCGUAGGUGGUUGAUCGCGUCGGAAGUGUAAUCUUGGGGCUUAACCCUGAGCGUGCUUUCGAUACGGGUUGACUUGAGGAAGGUAGGGGAGAAUGGAAUUCCUGGUGGAGCGGUGGAAUGCGCAGAUAUCAGGAGGAACACCAGUGGCGAAGGCGGUUCUCUGGGCCUUUCCUGACGCUGAGGAGCGAAAGCGUGGGGAGCGAACAGGCUUAGAUACCCUGGUAGUCCACGCUGUAAACGGUGGGUACUAGGUGUGGGGUCCAUUCCACGGGUUCCGUGCCGUAGCUAACGCUUUAAGUACCCCGCCUGGGGAGUACGGCCGCAAGGCUAAAACUCAAAGGAAUUGACGGGGCCCCGCACAAGCGGCGGAGCAUGCGGAUUAAUUCGAUGCAACGCGUAGAACCUUACCUGGGUUUGACAUGGAUCGGGAGUGCUCAGAGAUGGGUGUGCCUCUUUUGGGGUCGGUUCACAGGUGGUGCAUGGCUGUCGUCAGCUCGUGUCGUGAGAUGUUGGGUUAAGUCCCGCAACGAGCGCAACCCUUGUUCACUGUUGCCAGCACGUUAUGGUGGGGACUCAGUGGAGACCGCCGGGGUCAACUCGGAGGAAGGUGGGGAUGACGUCAAGUCAUCAUGCCCCUUAUGUCCAGGGCUUCACGCAUGCUACAAUGGCUGGUACAGAGAGUGGCGAGCCUGUGAGGGUGAGCGAAUCUCGGAAAGCCGGUCUCAGUUCGGAUUGGGGUCUGCAACUCGACCUCAUGAAGUCGGAGUCGCUAGUAAUCGCAGAUCAGCAACGCUGCGGUGAAUACGUUCCCGGGGCUUGUACACACCGCCCGUCAAGUCAUGAAAGUUGGUAACACCCGAAGCCGGUGGCCUAACCGUUGUGGGGGAGCCGUCGAAGGUGGGAC
rnacentral:rRNA from 1 species